UGUGUUUCAGUUUUGUAGAGCGUGGGAGGUUCUAUCGACAAAGCUUUUGGACGAAAGUGGUGUUGAUGAUAACAGAACGAGGUUUGGAAAGGGAUAGUGUACACGUACUCGACGGGGGUGAAUUACACCUAAGCUUAGAUGUCUUCAAAAGGCCAUCACUCACAACAACAUCCUCUUCACCUCAAUGGCUUCACAUAUGUUGUGUUCGGGACUAAGAAGCAUGGGAACGGGAAGAUUGAUGAACUAGAGAGGCAUAUUGAGUCUUUGAUAUGGGAAACUGUUAAGGAAAGAGAAAGGGAAUGUGUGGGAUUAGAUGACUACGAGAAGCUCGAGAAAAACAGAGUUCUCUAAAACGAGAUCGGUCGAGAUUGCAUAGGUUGGAUGUGUGGAAAGAACACAUCGAUGUUGAAAACGUUGGAAUGCAAGCUAACACAGCCAAGAUAUUGGUCAUGCAAAGAUCUCUUAUGAUUCUGUGACUAAG